AUCACUUCUCGGCCUUUUGGCUAAGAUCAAGUGUGGUAUCUGUUCUUAUCAUUUUAAUACCUGAUACGUCCUCUAUCCGAGGACAGCAUAUUAAAUGGAUUUUUGGAGCAAGGAGAUGGAUUAGGAGCUUGCGCUGUUCACUCUACACAUUGACCUGGUAUUGCAGUACCUCCAGGAAUGCUGCACCCCUU
ensembl:snRNA U2 U2 spliceosomal RNA